ACCCCGGGAGGGGAGUGAAACAGUCUCUGAAACCGUGCGCCUACAAUCCGUCGGAGCCCUUUUGUGGGGUGACGGCGUGCCUAUCGAAAAAUGAGUCUGCGAGUCAGUGGCAUGUGGCGAGCAUAACCCGUGUGGGGUAUGCGUAGCGAAGGCGAGUCUUAAAAGGCGUUUGAGUCGCGUGUCCUGGACCCGAAGCGGGAUGAUCUAGCCCUGAGCAGGUUGAAGCGCGGGUAAGACCGCGUGGAGGACCGAACCCACCUGGGUUGAAAACCGGGGGGAUGACUUGGGGCUAGGGGUGAAAGGCCAAUCAAAUUCCGUGAUAGCUGGUUCUCUCCGAAAUGCAUUUGGGUGCAGCGUCGGGUCAUUACGUCCCGGGGGUAGAGCUACUGGAUGCUUGCGGGCCCGUAUCGGGUACCAACAGCAACCAAACUCCGAAUACCGGUGACGCGUAUCCCGGCAGUGAGUCGGCGGGGGAUAAGCUUCGUCGUCGAAAGGGAAACAGCCCAGACCGUCGUCUAAGGUCCCGAAGCGUGUGCUAAGUGGGAAAGGAUGUGGAGUCGCAUAGACAGCCAGGAGGUUGGCUCAGAAGCAGCCACCCUUGAAAGAGUGCGUAACAGCUCACUGGUCUAGUGGUUCCGCGCCGACAAUGUAGCGGGGCUCAAGCACACCACCGAAGACGCGGCAGUAUUUUGUACUGGGUAGGAGAGCGUCCCAUGAGGGGCGAAGCGGCCGUGUGAACGCGCCGUGGACUUCAUGGGAGUGAGAAUGCAGACAUGAGUAGCGAGAGACGGGUGAAGAUCCCGUCCGCUGGAUGACCAAGGGUUCCAGGGCCACGUUCAUCGUCCCUGGGUGAGUCGGGUCCUAAGGCGAGGCCGACAGGCGUAGUCGAAUGGAUGAACGGGUCGAUAUUCCCGUACCGGCUUUCAGCCGCCAAAACCGAGGCUUGGAGUACUAACCUCCGGGUCCGGGCUUACUGCUCCUUCGGGGGCGGGAUGCCCUGGCCUGUUGGGACCGAUCCUUGUAGUAGGUCAGCGCAGGAGUGACGCAGAAGGGUAGCCGGCCGCGGAGGUGGUCUUCCGUGGUCAAGCACGCAGGGCGUGGGACAGGCAAAUCCGUCCCGCAUGGGUCCGAGGUGCGAUGAUGGGGGCCUUAUGGCCCGAUAUCCGGUGAUCCCGGCUGCCGAGAAAAGCUUCGGCGUCAGGCUCAAAGCCGCCCGUACCCCAAACCGACACUGGUGGUCAGGUAGAGAAUACCAAAGCGAUCGAGCGAAUCCUGGUCAAGGAACUCGGCAAAUCACUCCCGUUCCUUCGGUUUAAGGGAGACCCCCGAUGGUGAACACACUUGCUGUGGGAGCUUUUGGGGGUGGCACAGACCAGGGGGUAGCGACUGUUUACCAAAAACACAGGUGCAUGCGAAGGCGCAAGCCGCUGUAUAUGCACUGACGCCUG
rnacentral:rRNA from 1 species